rnacentral:lncRNA from 1 species
GUCUUAUUAGGUGACGGGAGAUCCAAUUUGCAAUCUUGAGAAGCGGCGUCCCGAGCCUCCUCCCCUCGGCGCGUGCCAGGCGCGUUCAUAUCCGGCGCUCGGGCUGAGACACCGUCGGCUUCGAUUUUCCACACAUGGCCUGUAUCGCGCCUGAGAUCUCAGUAAUGUGGACAUUUCGAGCGGAAAUUACCGAAACGUUCUUCUACGUGUCCAAACCGAAAGAAAAAAGUAAGCCUGUUAUGCGAAACUUCUAUAUCUUCCUCAUACACGGUGUAAAAACUAGAUCCAGUCUCAGUGGACACUUAGACUGAUUGUAAGUAUUCAAAACGCCGGAGGUCGUGGAUUAGCGGACUGGGACCCAGAGUCCGCACAGGCAGGUUACUGGAUCAGAAGGAGGGGGUGUCUGGAGCACGCUACCCCGACGUGCCGAGUAUUCUGGCAUCAACUACCCCACUAACCACACCACGUCUUCUGAAACAACAGAACUGCAACAUUAUAUAUGAACACUUCCAUGGCGUCGCAAUACAUCAAAUGAAAUAUUUUGUCUAAUCUAAACCAGCCUCGCGGAAACACUCGGAUCUGUUGUUGGUUUCCUAUGAGCUGGUUGCGGUAACUGAGCGAGCAAGAUAAACGAAUUAUACCUUCUCGGUUACAGCCUCUCUUAAAUUCGACUGUUCCUCUGAUUAUUACAUCCUCG